CAACCGAGAUGAACAUUGUCCCCAAUGUUUCUAUCGAAAAAGACGAGGAAGGAAUGAUAUACCUUAUGGUGAUGUGGUAUUCAAGGCGUGUGAGUGCAUCCACAUGAUUCAAAAACCAUAAGAAACGUGAGAGAGGAAAUAAGAUACAAAAAAUGAUGCUUAUAUAAACUGAGAGAGUUGAGUACAAGAUAUAAGCAUGAGGUACAUACAAUCUCAGAAUAUAAAACAUGUAUCAUAUACAAAAAACAUAUACAAAAUGGAGAUAGAAAUAUCCAAUCAUGGAUGUGGCUCCUGAGGUGGAGGAGGUGAUAUGCCCAGGUGAUGGUGGAUCUGAGAGAGCAUGGCG
rnacentral:lncRNA from 1 species